rnacentral:lncRNA from 1 species
CUUAGACAGUUCAUCUAUGAGGUUUUGCUGCUCCACAAUCUGAAGCUUCAAGAAAUCGACUUCUCUCUCAUCCUGACUUUGAUCAAGGUCAUUCAAGGAACUGGGUCUCCGUAUGAUUCCAGCUCUCUGUCUCUGAACGACAGCAAUGCAUUGCGGUCCUCCAGUUUGCGGAUAAUCGCACUUAACUCCGCGAUUUUAAGCUGGAAGCGCCGGGCAUCUUUUUCAUCCAACUGCUGUUCCUAAAACAAAAAUCAACUGCAAAUAACGGUUCCU